rnacentral:rRNA from 1 species
CCCGCUGAACUUAAGCAUAUCAAUAAGCGGAGGAAAAGAAACUAACAAGGAUUCCCCUAGUAACUGCGAGUGAAGCGGGAAAAGCUCAAAUUUAAAAUCUGGCGGUCUUGCGGCCGUCCGAGUUGUAAUCUGGAGAAGCGUUUAUCCGCGUCGGACCGUGUACAAGUCUUCUGGAAGGGAGCGUCGUAGAGGGUGAGAAUCCCGUCUUUGACACGGACAACCGGUGCUUUUGUGAUGCGCUCUCGAAGAGUCGAGUUGUUUGGGAAUGCAGCUCAAAAUGGGUGGUAAAUUCCAUCUAAAGCUAAAUAUUGGCGAGAGACCGAUAGCGAACAAGUACCGUGAGGGAAAGAUGAAAAGCACUUUGGAAAGAGAGUUAAACAGUACGUGAAAUUGUUGAAAGGGAAACGUUUGAAGUCAGUCGCGUCGGCCGAGACUCAACCUUGCUUCUGCUCGGUGUACUUUCUGGUUGAUGGGUCAGCAUCAAUUUUGACCAGUGGAGAAAGGUCAGGGGAAUGUGGCAUCUUCGGAUGUGUUAUAGCCCUUGGUUGCAUACAUUGGUUGGGAUUGAGGAACUCAGCACGCCGCAAGGCCGGGUAACUAUUACCACGAUCGUGCUUAGGAUGCUGGCAUAAUGGCUUUAAUCGACCCGUCUUGAAACACGG